GGAGAGACUGUAGGUUCCAACCUGAACAUGGAAAUUUCUGAAAAUCAAGAACAGAAUGAGUCCCGCAGGGAAGAUAUGGACUUUAUACCUCCAGGGGAUAUCCAAGAUAGGGUCAAUGAAACUUUUGCUGUUCAUGAAAUAGGUUCAGCUUCAGCAUCAUGACGGAUUCGGGGAACUAAGCGGAGGAUUUCUGCUCUAUCUGAUCUAGAGGAAACUUCGACUUCUCAUAAAAGGACACAGGCCAAUCCUUCAACACCAAUCC
rnacentral:lncRNA from 1 species